rnacentral:tRNA from 1 species
UCUAAUAUGGCAGAAAAGUGCAUUGGAUUUAAAUCCCAAUUAUAAAGAUUCGUCUUUUUUUAGAA